rnacentral:rRNA from 1 species
GAUGAACGCUGGCGGCGUGCUUAACACAUGCAAGUCGAACGGGAAACCUUUUAAUGAAGCUUCGGCAGAUUUAGCUGGUUUCUAGUGGCGGACGGGUGAGUAACGCGUGGGUAACCUGCCUUAUACAGGGGGAUAACAGUCAGAAAUGACUGCUAAUACCGCAUAAGCGCACAGGACCGCAUGGUACGGUGUGAAAAACUCCGGUGGUAUAAGAUGGACCCGCGUUGGAUUAGCUUGUUGGUGGGGUAACGGCUCACCACGGCGACGAUCCAUAGCCGGCCUGAGAGGGUGAACGGCCACAUUGGGACUGGGACGCGGCCCAGACUCCUACGGGAUGCAGCAGUGGGGAAUAUUGCACAAUGGGGGAAACCCUGAUGCAGCGACGCCGCGUGAAGGAAGAAGUAUCUCGGUAUGUAAACUUCUAUCAGCAGGGAAGAUAGUGACGGUACCUGACUAAGAAGCCCCGGCUAACUACGUG